UCCUACGGGGCGCAGCAGCCCUGGAGGUUCCCUACGGGGGCGCAGCGGCCCGAAACUUCUCAUGCACGCAACUGCGUAUAGGGGGACAUCGGAGUGCCUCCAUAUUGGUGUCUGUCCUCCCGUCUAAAAAACGGGAGUUACAAGGGCCGGGCAAGACCGGUGCCAGCCGCCGCGGUAAUACCGGCGGCUCGAGUGGUGGCCGAUAUUAUUGAGUCUAAAGGGUCCGUAGCCGGCUUUGCAAGUCUCUCGGGAAAUCCCAGCGGCUUAACCGUUGGUCGUCCGGGGGUACUACAUUGCUUGGACUGGGAAAGGUAGGAGGUACUCAGGGGGUAGGAGUAAUCCUGUAAUCAUUUGUUCCUGUGAAAUCCUGUAAUCCA
rnacentral:rRNA from 1 species